ACAACUGGUACAUUCAAUGAAAGAAUUAUCACGGAUAAUAACAACAAAAAAGUUUCAUAUAUAAAAUAUUUACCUCUCUCAACUGUCAGUCAAUUUGCUGGAGUCACCAGCCGUGUCACUGCGUUUACGCGUCCGUUUAACUAAUAAAUCAUGUCUUGCGUGGAUCCACCAAAAGCUGUUCAUUUGCAAUUGAAAAAUUCAUCGCUUCUUUGUGGCCUCACAUAUUUUAUGUAUGUCUUCCGAACCGAUGGGUGAUAAGCUAGUGAAUGGGAAAGUGAGUAAACGGCGAAAACCUUCGUUUGAUUAUGCAGCGACCAAACGUUGGAGUGAAACGUAUCGAAAGCGCAAGAACGACUGAUAUUAUCGUGUUACUCACGAUAACCUUUCUGGUCGUCAUCGCUACAACCAGUAGAGAUUUCAUCCACGGAGAAGGCUGGAAUCACUGCAGCAGUGAAGGACCUUUUUUUCGCGCCGUUGGAG